UGCAGUCGAACGAUGAAGCUGGAGCUUGCUCUGGUGGAUUAGUGGCGAACGGGUGAGUAACACGUGAGUAACCUGCCCUUGACUCUGGGAUAAGCGUUGGAAACGACGUCUAAUACCGGAUACGAGCUUCAGCCGCAUGGCUAGGAGUUGGAAAGAAUUUUGGUCAAGGAUGGACUCGCGGCCUAUCAGCUUGUUGGUGAGGUAAUGGCUCACCAAGGCGACGACGGGUAGCCGGCCUGAGAGGGUGACCGGCCACACUGGAACUGAGAUACGGUCCAGACUCCUACGGGAGGCAGCAGUGGGGAAUAUUGCACAAUGGGCGCAAGCCUGAUGCAGCAACGCCGCGUGAGGGAUGAAGGCCUUCGGGUUGUAAACCUCUUUUAGCAGGGAAGAAGCGAGAGUGACGGUACCUGCAGAAAAAGCACCGGCUAACUACGUGCCAGCAGCCGCGGUAAUACGUAGGGUGCAAGCGUUGUCCGGAAUUAUUGGGCGUAAAGAGCUCGUAGGCGGUUUGUCGCGUCUGCUGUGAAAAUCCAAGGCUCAACCUUGGACCUGCAGUGGGUACGGGCAGACUAGAGUGCGGUAGGGGAGAUG
rnacentral:rRNA from 1 species